AACGUAGGUCACAAGCGUUGUCCGGAAUUACUGGGUGUAAAGGGAGCGCAGGCGGGAAGACAAGUUGGAAGUGAAAUCCAUGGGCUCAACCUAUGAACUGCUUUCAAAACUGUUUUUCUUGAGUAGUGCAGAGGUAGGCGGAAUUCCCGGUGUAGCGGUGGAAUGCGUAGAUAUCGGGAGGAACACCAGUGGCGAAGGCGGCCUACUGGGCACCAACUGACGCUGAGGCUCGAAAGUGUGGGUAGCAAACAGG
rnacentral:rRNA from 1 species